AGGUAAAAAAACAAAAAUAAUAAAUUACUUUUAUAAAUGGGUGACAAGGAAAGUAAUUUUAUAUACAAAACGAUAAUACAACUCAAAUACAAUCGGGCACGCAUAAAGUUACCGAGAAAAAUAUGAAAUAGAAAUGCUAUAAAUCUGUUUAAUCUGAAAAUAACACAAUAUGACACGUUAUGACACAAAUAGAAAAUAAGAUUUUACUAUAAUUAUUAAGUAACUAUUUUAAUUAUCUUGAUUACACAAUUAUCGAACACGAACACGAACACGACUCACAAACUAAAGCCACCACAAUUUAAUACA
rnacentral:lncRNA from 1 species